rnacentral:rRNA from 1 species
GACGAACCGUGCGAACGUUUGUUUCGGAAUCACUGGGCUUAAAGGGCGCGUAGGCGGCUUUGCCAAGUCGGGGGUGAAAUCCGGCAGCUUAACUGUCGAAGUGCCUUUCGAUACUGGCAAGCUCGAGGGAGGUAGGGGUCUGUGGAACUUUCUGGUGGAGCGGUGAAUGCGUUGAUAUCAGAAGGAACGCCGGUGGCGAAAGCGACGGACUGGACCUCUUCUGACGCUGAGGCGCGAAAGCUAGGGGAGCAAACGGG